AGCAGAUCAGUUAAAGGUGGAAACUCAAGAAAUUAUUUUGAUGAAAUUCAUCCAAGAAGUUCUGGAAUCAAUUACAGGUGCUCAACCUGGAUUUGGGCCGUUAACCCUGCAUCCUGAAAAACGAAAGGAGAAGGAGAAGAAAAAAUGUGCUAAAAGGAAAGU